GUUGAGAGCAAGGAUAUCAGAACUGUU
rnacentral:piRNA from 1 species